rnacentral:rRNA from 14 species
GAUUAGUGGCGGACGGGUGAGUAACAUUUAGGAAUCUGCCUAGUAGUGGGGGAUAGCUCGGGGAAACUCGAAUUAAUACCGCAUACGACCUACGGGUGAAAGGGGGCGCAAGCUCUUGCUAUUAGAUGAGCCUAAAUCAGAUUAGCUAGUUGGUGGGGUAAAGGCCUACCAAGGCGACGAUCUGUAGCGGGUCUGAGAGGAUGAUCCGCCACACUGGGACUGAGACACGGCCCAGACUCCU